rnacentral:rRNA from 1 species
GAUGAACGCUGGCGGUAUGCAUAACACAUGCAAGUCGUACGAGAAUCUUCGGAUUCUAGUGGCGGACGGGUGAGUAACACGUGAGAAUUUACCCUUAGGAGAAGGAUAACAGAUGGAAACGUCUGCUAAUACUUCAUAUUGCUGAAGAGUGAAAUGGGAAACCGCCUAAGGAAAAGCUCGCGCCUGAUUAGCUAGUUGGUAAGGUAAUGGCUUACCAAGGCUACGAUCAGUAGCUGGUUUGAGAGGAUGAUCAGCCACACUGGGACUGAGAUACGGCCCAGACUCCUACGGGAGGCAGCAGUGGGGAAUUUUCCGCAAUGGGCGCAAGCCUGACGGAGCAAUACCGCGUGAGGGAUGACAGUAAAUAAAUUGUAAACCUCUUUUUUCAGGGAAGAAGAUAUGACGCGAACUGAAGAAUAAGCAUCGGCUAACUCCGUGCCAGCAGCCGCGGUAAU